rnacentral:ncRNA from 1 species
CUAAAAGUUUGGUCCUAGCUUUACUAUCAAUUGUUUCUCGACUUACACAUGCAAGUCUCAGCAUACCCGUGAGAAAGCCCUUUCCCCUACACCAGUUUAAGGAGCAGGCAUCAGGCACAACAAACCUUAGCCCAUAACGCCUAGUUACACCACACCCACAAGGGUCCUCAGCAGUGAUAUACUUUGAAUAUAAGCGCCAGCUUGAUUCAGUUAGAGAAAAGAGAGUCGGCCAAAUCGGUGCCAGCCGCCGCGGCUAAACCGUAGACUCAAAUUGAUAGUCCUCCGGCGUCCAACGUGAUUAGGGUAAUACCAUUUUAGAGCUAAAUAGACAUUCAGGUGUAAUAACCUUGUUGCCUAGAAAACCAAAAACGAAAGUUGCUCUAAUUAACGCCUGAAUACACGACAACUAAGACUCAAACCGGGAUUAGAUACCCCGCUAUGCUUAGUCGUAAAAUAUUUACUUACACCACCAAACGCCAGGGCAUUACGAGUCUUAGCUCAAAACCCAAAGGACUUGACGGUGUCCCACCCACCUAGAGGAGCCUGUUCUAUAAUCGAUACCCCCCGCUAUACCUCACCACUUUUAGCCUAUCAGCCUGUAUACCUCCGUCGUAAGUUUACCGUGUGAACGCUUGUAGUAAGCUAAAUGACUUUCCGUCAGUACGUCAGGUCAAGGUGCAGCCCAUAAAGUGGCAAGCAAUGGGCUACAAUUUCUAAUUUAGAACAAACGGAUAAACUGUAAUGAAACAGUUUAGAAGGAGGAUUUAGUAGUAAAAAGGAAGUAUGAGUAUCCCUUUUAAUUCGGCACUGGGACGUGUACACACCGCCCGUCACCCUCUUCGCAGUAUUUAAUAUGUACUUAACAUCUAUCUACACUAUAGAAGAGGUAAGUCGUAACACGGUAAGUGUACUGGAAAGUGCACUUGGAUAAG